CUUCUCAUUGAAAAGGAAAAUUCCUUCGUUCUUGAUUUCUUGGGUGCUGAUGGUUGUAUUCAUUUGAGCAAGAAUAACAACUUGAAUAUGCGUUUGUUCUUAAAAAGCGAUGAAUAAUUCUAUACAUGGAAAAAUUUUGAGGAGUUGGAUUUAAUUUCAGAUAAUCAAGAAGUGCGAAAAUAUGGUUUUUUUUUUUCGAGAAAGAUAUCGAUAUUCAACACAUGAAAAACGGAAAAAAACGGUGGAGAAAAAAACAAAAAUAAUGGAGCCACUUUUUCCUUGUUUGGCCGUUUAGAGGAAGAAGAAGCUUUCAAGCAACCUAACAUCUCCCUUACUCUACGCGUUGCUCGAAUUCUCCCAAUAAUUCGGUGGGGACAGAUUCAAGUUUUUGCUCUCCAUGAAUCUUCCUUCUGCAAAUUGAGGGUAAAGCCUCUCUCUCAUUCUCAGUCCCUCGCGUUGCACUUUCCAUUUAGUUCCAGUUCUUUUUUUGAGUGAAUAAGGACAUAGAUUCUGGGUAUGGAAAUUCUCUCGCACAAUUUUGCACCCUGCCGUCAUGUUGCGGAUACGAGGCAGAAUUUGAA